UAGGGAAUCUUCCGCAAUGGACGCAAGUCUGACGGAGCAACGCCGCGUGAGUGAAGAAGGAUUUCGGUUCGUAAAACUCUGUUGUUAGAGAAGAACAGCGCAUAGAGUAACUGUUAUGCGUGUGACGGUAUCUAACCAGAAAGCCACGGCUAACUACGUGCCAGCAGCCGCGGUAAUACGUAGGUGGCAAGCGUUGUCCGGAUUUAUUGGGCGUAAAGCGAGCGCAGGCGGUCAAUUAAGUCUGAUGUGAAAGCCCCCGGCUCAACCGGGGAGGGUCAUUGGAAACUGGUUGACUUGAGUGCAGAAGAGGAGAGUGGAACUCCAUGUGUAGCGGUGAAAUGCGUAGAUAUAUGGAGGAACACCAGUGGCGAAGGCGACUCUCUGGUCUGUAACUGACGCUGAGGCUCGAAAGCGUGGGUAGCAAACAGG
rnacentral:rRNA from 1 species